GCUCAGUUAGUUCAGUGAUUAGAACGCUAGAUUAUUUUUUUUUAUAUUAGAAAUGCAGGUUCGAUUCCUGUACUGGACC